UGGGGAAUAUUGGACAAUGGGGGAAACCCUGAUCCAGCAAUGCCGCGUGUGUGAAGAAGGCCUUCGGGUUGUAAAGCACUUUCAGUGGGGAAGAAGGGUGAAUGGUUAAUACCCAUUUAUUUUGACGUGAACCACAAAAGAAGCACCGGCUAACUCUGUGCCAGCAGCCGCGGUAAUACAGAGGGUGCUAGCGUUAAUCGGAAUUACUGGGCGUAAAGGGUGUGUAGGUGGUUGGAUAAGUUAGAUGUGAAAUCCCCGGGCUUAACCUGGGAACUGCGUUUAAAACUGUUUAACUAGAGUACUGUAGAGGAUAGUGGAAUUUCCAGUGUAGCGGUGAAAUGCGUAGAUAUUGGAAGGAACACCAGUGGCGAAGGCGACUAUCUGGACAGAUACUGACACU
rnacentral:rRNA from 1 species